rnacentral:rRNA from 1 species
UUUCCGGUUGAUCCUGCCGGACCUGACUGCUAUCGGAUUGAUACUAAGCCAUGCGAGUCAUUGUAGCAAUACAAGGCAGACGGCUCAGUAACGCGUAGUCAACCUACCCUAUGGACGGGAAUAACCUCGGGAAACUGAGUAUAAUGCCCGAUAGAACAUUAUGCCUGGAAUGGUUUAUGUUCCAAAUGAUUUAUCGCCAUAGGAUGGGACUGCGGCCUAUCAGUUUGUUGGUGAGGUAAUGGCCCACCAAGACUAUUACAGGUACGGGCUCUGAGAGGAGUGGCCCGGAGAUGGGUACUGAGACACGGACCCAGGCCCUAUGGGGCGCAGCAGGCGAGAAAACUUUGCAAUGUGCGAAAGCACGACAAGGUUAAUCCGAGUGGUUUCUGCUAAAGGAACCUUUUGUCAGUCCUAGAAACACUGAUGAAUAAGGGGUGGGCAAGUUCUGGUGUCAGCCGCCGCGGUAAAACCAGCACCUCAAGUGGUCAGGAUGAUUAUUGGGCCUAAAGCAUCCGUAGCCGGCUCUGUUAGUUUUCGGUUAAAUCUGUACGCUCAACGUACAGGCUGCCGGGAAUACUGCAGAGCUAGGGAGUGGGAGAGGUAGACGGUACUCGGUAGGAAGGGGUAAAAUCCUUUGAUCUAUUGAUGACCACCUGUGGCGAAGGCGGUCUACCAGAACACGUCCGACGGUGAGGGAUGAAAGCUGGGGGAGCAAACCGGAUUAGA